rfam:Myotis brandtii contig302481, whole genome shotgun sequence.
GGCAGUUCUCAGGUGAUGCACCCCAGAAUCAGGAUCCCUCCUCUCUGGCUCCGGGUGCAUCACUCAAGAACCACU